rnacentral:rRNA from 1 species
GACGAACGCUGGCGGCGUGCUUAACACAUGCAAGUCGAACGGAAAGGCCCCCUUGUGGGGUACUCGAGUGGCGAACGGGUGAGUAACACGUGAGUAACCUACCCUUGACUUUGGGAUAACUUCAGGAAACUGGGGCUAAUACCGGAUAGGAGCUCCUGCUGCAUGGUGGGGGUUGGAAAGGUUCGGCGGUUGGGGUUGGACUCGCGGCUUAUCAGCUUGUUGGUGGGGUAGUGGCUCACCAAGGCUUUGACGGGUAGCCGGCCUGAGAGGGUGACCGGCCACAUUGGGACUGAGAUACGGCCCAGACUCCUACGGGAGGCAGCAGUGGGGAAUAUUGCACAAUGGGCGGAAGCCUGAUGCAGCGACGCCGCGUGCGGGAUGACGGCCUUCGGGUUGUAAACCGCUUUCGCCUGUGACGAAGCGUGAGUGACGGUAAUGGGUAAAGAAGCACCGGCUAACUACGUG